GGGCGCGCGAGAGAGCCGGCGACGGGCCUGCCUGCCUGCCUGCCGGUACCGGUGGUGUAGCAGGGAAGCCAAGAGAGACAGGCAGGCAACGGCGGGCCGGGCGACUAGCGUGUUGCGUUUUUGCUUCUCGUCUCGCCAGCAGACCUUUUGAUCGAUUGACCUGCCAGUUUCUUUGUGAUUUCAAACGACGAUAAGAACCCGGCCGGGCCGGCGCUAGGGUUGGUUGGCGAGCGAGCGAGCGGCGUUGACAGGUUUCUUCCCGCGCUCCUGCACUGCAUGCAAUGCAAGCCCCUUUUCGCCACGACCACGAUUGGAUCGGCCGAUCGAUCAGGCACAGGCGGACAGGGACUAGAAGGAGACGAACUCGCUGCCGCAAGGCCUGAAUGAAUGAAUUUUCUAUGCCCCCAUGCUAUGGAGAGUUUGUCUCGUGUUUCUACACUGCUACCAUCUCUUUCGCAACCAAAAAUACAGGGCAAAUUUUAGUCGGCGGUUCGGCACCAAUUCUUUUCGUGCUAUUACUCAACGGUUUUCUACGUGCCGUCAGGCCUUUUCAUGCGUAAUUCUGUUGGUUGGGAGGUGUGACAGCCUGACAGGUUUCUUCCCGCGCUUGCAGGCCACAUGAAUGCGUUCUAACAGAAAAAUCGUAUCCUGAAUCUAGUUGCGUAUACGUACGAAAAAUGUCUGUUUUAUGGAUAAAUAUAGUAAAACGAUAAGAAUUAAGAAAAAGAAAACAA